AUUGAACGCUGGCGGCAUGCCUUACACAUGCAAGUCGAACGGUAACAGGUCUUCGGAUGCUGACGAGUGGUGAACGGGUGAGUAAUACAUCGGAACGUGCCUAGUAGUGGGGGAUAACUACUCGAAAGAGUGGCUAAUACCGCAUGAGAUCUACGGAUGAAAGCAGGGGAUCGCAAGACCUUGUGCUACUAGAGCGGCCGAUGGCAGAUUAGGUAGUUGGUGGGAUAAAAGCUUACCGAGCCGACGAUCUGUAGCUGGUCUGAGAGGACGAUCAGCCACACUGGGACUGAGACACGGCCCAGACUCCUACGGGAGGCAGCAGUGGGGAAUUUUGGACAAUGGGCGAAAGCCUGAUCCAGCAAUGCCGCGUGCAGGAUGAAGGCCUUCGGGUUGUAAACUGCUUUUGUACGGAACGAAAAGCCCCGGGUUAAUACCCUGGGGUCAUGACGGUACCGUAAGAAUAAGCACCGGCUAACUACGUGCCAGCAGCCGCGGUAA
rnacentral:rRNA from 1 species